rnacentral:rRNA from 1 species
UACAGAGGUCCCAAGCGUUGUUCGGAUUCAUUGGGCGUAAAGGGUGCGUAGGCGGCGCGGUAAGUCGGGUGUGAAAUCUCGGAGCUUAACUCCGAAACUGCAUUCGAUACUGCCGUGCUUGAGGACUGGAGAGGAGACUGGAAUUUACGGUGUAGCGGUGAAAUGCGUAGAUAUCGUAAGGAAGACCAGUGGCGAAGGCGGGACUCUGGGCAAUUCCUGACGCUGAGGCGCGAAAGCGUGGGGAGCAAACGGG